rnacentral:rRNA from 1 species
AGACUGGGAACUCCGGGAACCGGGGCUAAUACCGGAUGGUUGUUUGAACCGCAUGGUUCAGACAUAAAAGGUGGCUUCGGCUACCACUUACAGAUGGACCCGCGGCGCAUUAGCUAGUGUGNGUNGAGGUAACGGCUCACCAAGGCGACGAUGCGUANGCCGACCUGAGAGGGUGAUCGGCCAACACUGGGAACUGAGACACUGGCCCAGACUCCUACCGGGAGGCAGCAGUAGGGAAUCUUCCGCAAUGGACGAAAGUCUGACGGAGCAACGCCGCGUGGAGUGAUGAAGGUUUUCGGAUCGUAAAGCUCUGUUGUUAGGGAAGAACAAGUGCCGUUCAAAUAGGGCGGCACCUUGACGGUACCUAACCAGAAAGCCACGGCUAACUACGUGCCAGCAGCCGCGGUAAUACGUAGGUGGCAUANCGCGUUGUCCGGAAUUAUUGGGCGUAAAGGGCUCGCAGGCGGUUUCUUAAGUCUGAUGUGAAAGCCCCCGGCUCAACCGGGGAGGGUCAUUGGAAACUGGGGAACUUGAGUGCAGAAGAGGAGAGUGGAAUUCCACGUGUAGCGGUGAAAUGCGUAGAGAUGUGGAGGAACACCAGUGGCGAAGGCGACUCUCUGGUCUGUAACUGACGCUGAGGAGCGAAAGCGUGGGGAGCGAACAGGAUUAGAUACCCUGGUAGUCCACGCCGUAAACGAUGAGUGCUAAGUGUUAGGGGGUUUCCGCCCCUUAGUGCUGCAGCUAACGCAUUAAGCACUCCGCCUGGGGAGUACGGUCGCAAGACUGAAACUCAAAGGAAUUGACGGGGGCCCGCACAAGCGGUGGAGCAUGUGGUUUAAUUCGAAGCAACGCGAAGAACCUUACCAGGUCUUGACAUCCUCUGACAAUCCUAGAGAUAGGACGUCCCCUUCGGGGGCAGAGUGACAGGUGGUGCAUGGUUGUCGUCAGCUCGUGUCGUGAGAUGUUGGGUUAAGUCCCGCAACGAGCGCAACCCUUGAUCUUAGUUGCCAGCAUUCAGUUGGGCACUCUAAGGUGACUGCCGGUGACAAACCGGAGGAAGGUGGGGAUGACGUCAAAUCAUCAUGCCCCUUAUGACCUGGGCUACACACGUGCUACAAUGGACAGAACAAAGGGCAGCGAAACCGCGAGGUUAAGCCAAUCCCACAAAUCUGUUCUCAGUUCGGAUCGCAGUCUGCAACUCGACUGCGUGAAGCUGGAAUCGCUAGUAAUCGCGGAUCAGCAUGCCGCGGUGAAUACGUUCCCGGGCCUUGUACACACCGCCCGUCACACCACGAGAGUUUGUAACACCCGAAGUCGGUGAGGUAACCUUUUAGGAGCCAGCCGCCGAAGGUGGGACAGAUGAUUGGGGUGAAGUCGUAACAACGUAGCCGUAUCG